rnacentral:lncRNA from 1 species
AAGUAAGAAGUAUUAUUUUAGGUUUUUGAAGGCUUGGGGUCAGUGAAACAAAGGUGUCUGAGAAGAAGAAUGGGGACAGAUCCUAAAGGGAAAGUCCCCGAUCAGAGUCAGAGGGAGGGUUCUGCUCUGAUCUGGAAAGGGAAUAAUUGAAAGAGAGCGCCUGGGUGAUGGAGGGUGAAGCAGGAAGGCUGCCGUCAUGAUCAUUUGGGAAAUGCACCCCAUCAGGCCGCCAAAUACAUUGAAAACAGCCCCACACACCAGUUAGGUAAACAUCUCUAACAUUUCUUAUUCGUUGGAUCUUCUUUCCUUUAAGAUAUGCCCUUGAGGAGUUCCCGUCGUGGCGCAGCGGAAGCAAAUCUGACUAGGAACCAUGAGGUUGUGGGUUUGAUCCCUGGCCUCGCUCAGUGGGUUAAGGAUCUGGCGUUGCCGUGAGCUGUGGUGAGGCUGAAGAUGCGGCCUGGAUCUGGCAUUGCUGAGGCUGUGACACAAGGUCAGAAGGUUUGCUUUCAGGUUUGCCUUGAAAAUCUGACCAAGCAAAUAUUUCAAUCUAGAGCUUCACCUAAAUGUCACCUUGUCAAAUUUUGAAGUUUAAUGCUAGACAACAGCUGUGUGGAACAGAGAUCACCAAGAGACAGAAAAAUAAGGGGGGAAAAAAAGGAUACCAAAUAAACCCAUUUAAGAUAUGUCAGUAGCUGAAUAUCCUCCUUGACCAAAUUCUAACCUUCUUAAAAAUGGUUGUUUGUACAUCAUAAAAAAAAAAAUCAAACAAAUAUCAUUAAUGCUCGAGGUGGGAGGGAAAAUUAACAUAUUCAUGAAUGAGCACUUUGCUUGCACUUGUCAAGGUUGAGACUUUGCUCUUGAACAAGUAAAAUUUUGUUUGAAGUACCAUUAAUUUAUCUGAAUUUACCAUCCUCUAUUUCAAAAUUCAUAUGAUACCUCUCAUCAAAUAAAGAAUUCCUUUCCAGACAAAAUGAUUAAACCUCAGAAGUGAAGUACAAAUUGGACUUUGAUUUUUCCUGGCCAGACCCCAUGACUUGGCUUCUAUCUUUAAUAGCUACAGAAGUCAAAAUAAAACAUAAACUAUAUUAGGUUAGCCUGUCUUUCCAAUAAUUUUAUGGGGGGAAAGAAUUUAAAUUGGCUGUUUACUUCAAUAAAGUGGUCAAUAUAAACAACGUGGUUGAUGGCAGACUAAGAGUGAAUGCAAGGGCUUUUUUGGGAAUGACUAAUUUGAUUAGCCAUCAAAUUAAAAUCCCAGAAUAAUAAACUUUUUCGUGACUUUCAGGAAGAUUCCAGGAGUUCCCGUCGUGGCUCAGUGGUUAACAAAUCCGACUAGGAACCAUGAGGUUUUGGGUACGAUCCUUGGCCUCGCUCAGUGGGUUAAGGAUCCGGCAUUGCCAUCAGCUGUGGUGUAGGUUGCAGACGUGGCUUGGAUCCCUCGUUGCUGUGUGUGUGGUGUAGGCCAGGGGCUACAGCUCUGAUUAGACCCCUAGCCUGGGAACCUCCAUAUGCUGAGGGAGCGGCCCUAGAAAAGACAAAAAGCCAAGAAGCCAAAAAAAAAAAAAAAAAAAAAAAAAGAUUCCAACUGAUUAUUCUACUCUGCACUGUAUCUUAAUCUCUUGGGAGGUGAAAAAUAUCAUACCUGUCUGGAGCUGGCCCCAAAGGCCCUGCCAACAGUGGAAGGGGAACCAGUCAAAACUAAGGAAAGCAACCACUGAACCAAAGCAAACAGGCAUGCAUAUGUGUUGUUAAUUUUUCAGAACCUAAAAGGCAGACUGAAGGAGUCCUCAUUUAAGCAGAGGUGGUUGUUUUAUCCUGUUUAGCUUUGUCAGCUUCAGUAGCUCAACAAGCCACACACAUCCAUAUGCCAGGCCCCUGAUCACAGAACCAUCAGGAAAGAAGUCAAUCCACUGAAGUCGACUCUCCUACGAACACUCAAGCAUGUGAAAUCUACCAGAGCCUGACCCACCCAUCCUCAACACCCACCAAAAAAGUCCAAUAUCCCUGAAGCACUGGUUCAGCGGGGUGGGGGGUGGGGGGGUCAUCUUUGGGAAGUAAGAUAACCGCCAUCACUUAUCUUCACCAGGAAGUGUGCUUGGGAGUUCCCUUUGUGGUUUGUGGCUCAGCAGUUAACAAACCCGACAAGGUUCCAUGAGGAUGUGGGUUCGAUUCCUGGCCUUGCUCAGUGGGUUAAGGAUUGGGCAUUGCUGUGAACUAUGGCGUGGAUCACAGACAUGGCUUGGAUCCCAUGUUGCUGUGGCUGUGGCACAGGCCAGCAGCUGUAGCUUCGAUUCGAGCCCUAGUCCAGGAACUUCCAUAUGCCUUGAGUGCAGCCCUUAAAAAAAGCCAAAAAAAAAAAAAAAAAAAAGUGUGCUUCUAAUCAGGGCAGAGGUGAGAACAAAUUCUCCCUUGCCUGUGGGAAUGUUACAAAGUACAACCUUCUGGAAAAACAAUUAAUCGCAAGGUCAGGAGACAGAGAAAGUCUUGAGAAGGUCCCUAUGUUUGAGCCAAUAAUUCCACUGCUAACAAUCUAGCCUGAGAAAGUGAUCCAAAAUAUAGAGAAAAAUUAUGACCAAAGAUGGUUAUUAAAGUAUAUUUACGGUAUUUGGGGUAAUUUGGAACCAUCUAAAUGUUAGAGGGGAGAAGGUAAAUGAACCUGGUAACGCCACACACGAGAAUGUCAUAUGGCUACUGAAAACCAUGAUCAGAGACACUGUUGACUUGACCUCGAAAAGUUACUUAAAACAUUUGAUGAAAUGCACGGAUCCAGACACUAUACAUAGUACAACUUCCGCAAAAAUAUGCAUAUCAAACAGACCGAAAAGAAAUACACCAAAACGUGAACAGUAAUUAUCAUUUGCUUAUGAUAUGUGUGAUUUUAACUUUCUCUUGUUCUACUAGCCUGUUUUACGAAAACUUUACAGAAAGCACAUGAUUUAAAAAAAGAAAACAUUAAAAAGAAAAAAUCAGGGCAGGGGGUGCCUGUUCGCCUGUUGAGUGGGCAGACUGAAACAGACUCAGGGAAAUAUUUCUGUCCUUCUGGAGGAGAUUCCAUGUCCUACCUGUCGCUCACACUUGAUGGAAACCCUGGUGCUGCCCUCCGCAUCAUGCCUGUGCCUCCCAUGACCUUGUCUUUGACUUUCAGCCUUCCCUAUUUAUCCUGAAACACCCUUCUGGCAGUUAUCUCUUCUCUGUAAACCAUGUUCUCCACCCCCCUUCGCCAGCAGGACCUAGUUCCAUGGCCUGGUCCGUUUCCUUCUGGUCCGGCCUGGUUGAGUCUGGGUACCGACAACAAGCAAAUUACCUUUGAAAGAAACAGGCAUGAUAACAUGAGUUAUCAAAGAAUAGGGCAAGGAAACACAGCUUUCAUAAUGGCUUCUAGAAAAGCACUUUCUAUACAGUGGGCUUCCCCUCACAGACCUGAUCCUAUACCAGGCCCCAGCUGGAAGUGAUCUCUUGGAAGUCCCUACUGUGACAACCAACCUUAAGGUCUGUGCAGAACCUUCCACGUUUCAGAGCACCUUCAAAGACUCACAGCAUUUCACCCUCCUGACUGUAAAGUGGAGAGAUCAAGCAUUAUUUUCCAAAUGGUACCAAAAAGAAAAUUGCAACUCAGGAGUUCCCGUUGUGGCUCAGCAGGUUAAGGACCCAACAUUGUCUCCCUGAGGAUGUGGGUUUGAUCCCUGGCCUGGCUCAGUGGGUUAAGGAUCUGCCUUGCAACAAGCUGCUGCAGAGGUCGGAUCCCGUGUUGCCGUGGCUGUGGUAUAGGCUGGCAGCUGCGGCUCCAAUUAGACCCCUAAACCAGGAACUUCCAUAUGCUGCAGGUGCAGCCAUAAAAAGAGGGAAAAAAAAUCACAGCUCAGAGACUGGGCACUGAGUGGCUUAUGCCCCCUGAUCCCCGAGGCGCGCUCCUCUGUAAAUAGUGAUGAUAAUACCUGCGUGGGGGAGUUGUCCUAGGGAUUAAAUGAGAUAAUGUAUGCAGCCUGCUCAGCACCGUGUCUGGAACAAGGGCAGCAUUCAGCAAAUGCCAGCUUCUAUGACUGUUAGGGUCAAAAGGAAGCUCAAGGUGACAUAGCUGGGAAGCGACAGUGCCAAGAUGGGAAGCCAGGCUGUUUCAAGCCAAGGCCACCCUUUUUUAGACUUUAUUCCCAGCACUGUAAGGAGUAUUAAGGCAUGGCCAGUGCCCUUAUAGAAUUUAUAAUAUUUUGUAGCAGGCCUAUCUCAAUCACAUAAGGUAAUAAAGCAGUUAUUCCCACAAAGAAUUAAGGCAACAGUAAUUAAAACUAGGAUGUAGCCCACAAGUUACACAGUUCUUUUGUCCAACAGCUACCACUAUAGCAUCUUCUUAUGCAUAGAUCCUAAAGCUCGGGAACCCCACAUUUCAUCCCUGUUUCAAAGAAGGCUUAUGUGGAGUUCCUGUUGUGGCUUAGUGGUUAAAGAAUCCGACUAGGAGCCAUGAGGUUUCGGGUUCGAUCCCUGGCCUCACCCAGUGGGUUAAGGAUCGAGUCUUUGCUGUGGUUGUGGUGUAGGCUGGCGGCUACAGCUCCGAUUAGACCCCUGGCCUGGUAAUCUCCAUAUGCCAUGGGUGCAGCCCUAGAAAAGGCAAAAAUACAAAAAAAAAAAAAAAAAAAAAAAAAAA